rnacentral:rRNA from 1 species
UACGGGGGGAGCAAGCGUUGUUCGGAUUUACUGGGCGUAAAGGGCGCGUAGGCGGCCACCGCAAGUCGACUGUGAAAUCUCCGGGCUUAACUCGGAAAGGUCAGCCGAUACUGCGGGGCUAGAGUGCAGAAGGGGCAACUGGAAUUCUCGGUGUAGCGGUGAAAUGCGUAGAUAUCGAGAGGAACACCUGCGGCGAAGGCGGGUCUCUGGGCCGAUACUGACGCUGAGGAGCGAAAGCGUGGGGAGCGAACAGG